GGGCUGUAGCUCAGUAGUAGAGCAUCUACUUUGCAUGCAGGAAGUCCCAGGUCCAACUGCUGGCAUGUCCA